rnacentral:rRNA from 1 species
CCUACGGGAGGCAGCAGUGGGGAAUAUUGCACAAUGGGGGAAACCCUGAUGCAGCGACGCCGCGUGAGUGAAGAAGUAUUUCGGUACGUAAAGCUCUAUCAGCAGGGAAGAAAAUGACGGUACCUGACUAAGAAGCCCCGGCUAACUACGUGCCAGCAGCCGCGGUAAUACGUAGGGGGCAAGCGUUAUCCGGAUUUACUGGGUGUAAAGGGAGCGUAGACGGCAGCGCAAGUCUGGAGUGAAAUCCCAUGGCUUAACCAUGGAACUGCAUUGGAAACUGUGCAGCUAGAGUGCAGGAGAGGUAAGCGGAAUUCGUAGUGUAGCGGUGAAAUGCGUAGAUAUUAGGAAGAACACCAGUGGCGAAGGCGGCUUACUGGACUGUAACUGACGUUGAGGCUCGAAAGCGUGGGGAGCAAACAGGAUUAGAUACCCUAGUAGUC